CCAGACACAAAACAAGGUGGACGAACAAGAAGCUGGUUGGUGUUUGCUCUUGAAAUAUGACCCUUGCUUUUUUUGUUGACUGCAUAAUUAUAGUUUGUGGUAAGUGAGGCUUCGUGUGGACCUUGGAGGUGUGGACUAUGAUCUCUAACUAACCAACAGAGACGUUUAAGGACUUAAUUCAAGCCUGAAAUCACGAAGUCGCGGCACUGGCACAGCUGUUGAUGUGACAAUGAACCCAUCAAGACGAAAAAGAAAAAAAGGAGGAAUAAAAAUUGAAAAGAUAAAAAUUUAACGAAGAAAGGAAAGAGAGAGAGAGAGAGAUGAAAAGAAAAAGUAAGAAGAAGAACUUAUCACCAUCAUCAACAACAAGACAACUGUCAACAAGUCAACUCUUUUCGAGUCUUUGAUCCCCAUAAUCCCCUUGUCUACUCUUGGACCUUUAUACCUCCUUGACACUUGGAAAUCAUUAGAGCCCUGUUCAUUCAAGAUCAACCAGAUCAGCUUUCCAUUUGCCACAGUGAUAAACAGAUGGGAGUUUAACUAAGAGGCGGUACUCGACAGUCUAACAAUGAAGGAAAAAAUUAUGAAAGCUGAUUUUUUGUAGAGCUUAAAUUUAGACCUUUCCUCCCAAGAAAAGUCUCCACCAACCUCACCCAUCAAGAGCAUGGGAAUGACUGAAGGUUGUGCAUUUUUAAUUUGGAUCAUCAUGGUAUGGAUGGGUGUAUGCUUUUACAGUUUACAGAAGAACCAGUUUAUCAAGAAUACUGAAAUGGUAACUGGAUACUGAAACUGACUGAAUCAUGAAAUGUGCUGGCUGGAUAAACUAAAUAAGGGCCAAGAGGUGGCUCCCAAUAUGAACAACAAUUUUUAUGAUGAGCAGCUUUGUCUGGAAAGCAAUGGCAACCACCCCAUUGCUGUUGGAGGCAGGAAGUAUGUUGAUUUAUUUUUGAUGAAGCUGUGCAAUGGCUAGCAAUGAGUUUAACCUAUUGCAUGUGCUAAGUCGUGCCUUAAUAUUAAUCAACUCGUUGCUACAUGUACUGACUGUCGCUCACUCUUCAUCCAACCUUGGCCAGUCCAUGAAUACAACAUUUUAUGUGUGCAACUUACCAAGUAGUUACAUAGCUAUAGUUUCUAUCUGUCAGCAGCUAGGAUUUUUCAAUUUGUGGUAGCACUAUAUAUUUGUUUUGGCUAGGUGAUACCCCCACCCACUACCUGGGGAGAGAAGAACCAACUCGGCACAAACGUCAGUUGUUUUGUGCUGGCUGGUGCUGUCAACAGCUGUACAGCAGCAGCGGAAUUUUUGGGAUUGUUUGCUUUUACUUGAUGUCUUGGAAGUUUUGAUGAAGUACUCUAUACUUUGGUAGCCAUUUUGGCAACAUUUAGCUGUUAAUAGAAAUUUAUUCAAAAUAGUUAAAUUUUGCUUUUGGAUUAGUCUUUGCCUUAGGAUUGAGUUAAUUAGCAGGCAUGUCUGAUACUAGCUCUCAAGGUACUAGGUAUUGCACAGCAAAGACUGCAAUACGAGAGUCUUAAAAGCUUGUUACAAUCCGCAUUCAGUGUUAGUUGGGACAGUAAAGCUUAGAGAACUUUAACUAGCCACAUUAAUAAGUUAAAGAGAGAUAAGAAGAGGAAAGCUGCUUCUAGAGCUAGCUCUAAGAAGUGUGUAGUUAGUCAGGAUUUAUCUACUGGAAAUAUAUCUUUGUCUCCUGAAGCUUCCCUCUCAUCUGUUCAACCCAAACCUGAUGCCGUAGCCAACCUCGAAGCUCGGGUAGAUAAAAAAAUUUCUUAUCAUGUUACAGGCGAUGGAGAAGUUAGGAAUGUCUGUACAGGCAGUGGAGAAUGUCUGUGAAAACCUUGAUGGGCAAGGUAAGUGGUGAAGUGAGUGUCUUUGCUAGUGUUGUGGAGGAGGUGGCUGUUUGACCCACUGAUCUUCCUAGGCAAAGGUCCCUGUUAAACUCCCCAGCACCUGGGAGGAGGCAUACUGGUAGCCCAAGGGAGGUCAGUGGGUUCUGCCCCAAGCAGUUGCCCCCUCAGGCAAUUUGUUGAGAAUUCCCAGAUUGCAACAGAACACCAUUGGAAAGGUGUAUCUAAGGAUGUGUCUUUUUCCUUGAGUGCAUCCAGCUCUGGGGAGUUGUCUCCCAGGCACCAGUGGCCUUUUGUAGACGAGUCCCUUCCACUGAAAAGGAGGGCUUGUAAGAUGUCACCUUCUCCUGUCCCCAUUAAGAAGGCUAGUAUGCUUGAAGGUGAUCAAUGUCCUUGCACCUUAUGGGACUCCCCAGAGCAAUUUUCUCAAGAUUAUGAAGGUUUAGGGGGACACUGUAGUGAGAAUAUUCCUUCUCUAAAUCUCGUUCUUUGUCGAGGAAGUCUUCUUCUGGACAACAACUGAUGAGGUCACAUGCAGGAAUGGUUCAGAGCGUCUGUUGGCGCCAGAGCUUUAUCCUCUUCUGCCUUUCUCUCCAGUUCAUUCCACUAGUGCUAAGAAACAUAAGACCCCUGUGAGGCUGUUGGUGCCUGUUCAUCCUUCUUACACAGAAGGACAGGUUGUCUUAACCCCUGUUCACCUGUAAUUCAAGAGUGCCGAGUGGCGCUUGUGGCAGGAUGUAUCCAUGCUUGAAGAGCACGCGCUGGUGCAGGAGCGUCUGUCGGUGUAUGAGCACCCAUUAACACAAAAUCUCCCUCUUGUUCUGGAGCCCCAGGUAAUACAAGAGACCCAGGUAAUACAAGAGAACAUGUUGGCUCCCAAGUGCCCAUGAACGCCUGAGUGCCCAUCGGCACCACAGCUCCCACAACCACCCAGAAGCUCACUGACUCUACAGCUCCCAUGUGCACCCAAGCUUCCAUUGGUGCCCGAGCUCCCACAAGCGACCAAAUGCCCAUUGGCUCCUCUUGAACAGUCUGAAGUCUUUCAACAACCUACUACGACAGUUACUACAGUGGUCCCCCUCCCCUGUAUUUGCAGGGGAUGCGUACCAGACCCCCCGCAAACAGUUGGAACCCCUAUAAAAAUGCUUAAAAUGGCCUAUUUUGUUAGUUAUAUUUUGUUAGUUAAGACUCGAGAUAAACCCACUAAAAAUUAUUAUACCUGAUUUUUUAAUAGAUUUAUCUCAAAAAGCACAUUUUAUGAUGAAGAUAAAAAAACCAGGAAUCUGCGGAUAUUUCUCAUAGAAAAAUACCGCAAAUAGGCGAAUUUCCCUCAAAUUAUUGGGGGAUAUGUUCCAGAGAGAAAUCCGCAAAUGUGUGAGUCCACUAAUCCAGAGGACGUGAAUAAGGGGGGGCCACUCUACUUCUGUUUUACCAGCAUUGUUGCAAGUAAUGGCUAUCACAGAUCCUUCUAGUGUAGCCAUUCAAAAUAAGUUCGUGUUUUGGGAUUUAUGACUUCGGUACCUUCUGUUCAACCUCAAGCAACCUGGUCUCCCGUUUUGUCAGUGGCAGAAGAAGAAGAGGAGAGUAGGGAUUCUUCUCUGAUGGCCUACAAGUUGCUACUUUGUUGCGAAUUUCUCGUAACUCUUUCUUGCCAGUAACCCUAGCUUCACCAGAGUCUUCUUACUUGAGAGACAACCAAGUGGAUUCAUCCAAAUUGCCUAAGUUAGUAUUCUCUUUUUUGGCACAUUAGGCAUUGGAGGAAAUUAACCUUUGGCUUUAGGAGAAGAGGGAGCAAGGAAAAGUUAACUUCAAUGUUCCUUCAUCUCGUCUUUCCACUAGAAGACAUUCAUGUUAGGUUAUGAGACCAGAGAAGCUCUCUCUUUGGGUGUAUCUACCUCCAUUCAACGAGACUUUUACAGACUGGAAACUGUGGAGCAAACCAAUUUUAGACCUACAGUAGUACCUCGAGAUACGAAAGGCUCAACUUACGAAAAAUCCAAGUUACAAAAGCCAAGUUACAAAAGCCAAUGCGAAAAAUUUUACUGCUCUACAUACGAAAAGUUUUCAAGAUACGAAAGGUUGUUGCUGUAAAGUCCCGAGAUUCGCCCGGACCACCGAGAACAAUUUUAAAACUCCCGCGCCGCCAACUGAGUAAACUCGCCACCAUCCUCCCGCUCUCCCAUUGGUUCCUGAUGCUAGUCACCCCAUAAGGUCCUGCUCUCCUAUUGGUCAGCAUCUACCCUUUGUGCUUAAGUAUUCUAUUGGUAAAAGGUUGCUGUAAAUUGAAAAACUUAUUCAUGCAAUACAUUUAAUAAAGAAAACAUUAGGUAAAGAUAGAAUAAAGAAUAGAAAUGAAUGGUUAUUAUACUGUUUGGUAGUUUCAGUAGUUGAAGAGAGAGAAUGAAAAUUUAUGGCUUACUGUGUAAAGUGAUUGCUUGGCGAUCGUUCGAUACUCGUAAGUGCUGGAUGUAAACAGACGUUUGGAAGCUUUUUUUUGUUUGUUUAUUAUAGUUAAUGGUUACUUAAUAAUUAUUUGAAAUGAGUACAUGCAAUACAUUUAAUAAAAAAAAUUGUGAAUUAGAUAUCAUAAAAUAUAAAAUAAAUCAGACUGCCAACAAAUACGUAUUUUUUAGAAUUCUUCUUCUGUUUUAUUAUUACGUUACGUAUACGCAUGUUUUAUUUUAGCUGUCGGUAACUCGGUAUCUUCAUUAGGUAAAGAUAGAAUAAAGAAUAGAAAUGAAUGGUUAUUAUACUGUUUGGUGGUUUCAUUAGUUGAAGAGAGAUACUAAUGACAAUUUAUGGCUUACUGUGUGCUAGGAAAAAUGAUUGCUUGGUGCUCGUUCGAUACUCUAAGACGGGUAAGAGCUGGAUGUAAACAAUCGAUCGGAAGGUUUGUUUUUUGUUUGUUUGUGUAUUAUAGUUAAUGAUUAAUUAAUAAUUAUUUGAAAUGAGUACAUACUGAUUAUUUAUGCAUUUUAUUGGCAUAUUCUAAGCUUUUAGCUCUUAGGUUUAGAUGUCAGAAUCAUAGACUAGGCUACAGUAGCAACCGCUAACAUAGGCUAGGCUUAUUGCUAAGGGACAUAUGCUAAAGUCCUAAUAUAUGCAGUAAAAAUGGGGUUGAACAUUACAUGCAGUUGAAUAUUACUCAAGUAUGUACAGUAUUUUGCCUUUUUGGAGUCAUAUUUCUUCCGUCGUAACCCUAGAACAUGUGUUUUAGGCCUGGAAAUAUAAUUUACUGGGGUGUUUUUGGAGGGCUUGGAACGGAUUAGCCAUUUUACAUGUAAAAUGUGUUCCAAGUUACGAAAAACUCAUAAUACGAAGGCCGUCUCGGAACGGAUUAAUUUUGUAUCUCGAGGUACCACUGUAUUUACCACAAAAAACCACCAUCUUCCUCUUUGCUGCUCACCAGCUCCAUACCCGCAAGCAUGGGCAGCGACGGACACAUGCUUUUAAACUGGUCAGACAAAGACUUAUAAGUCUUUCCUCCAUUUAAGAUGGUGAGAGAAGUCCUCAACAAAUUUGGGUCUCACCACAUCUCUCUAACCCUCAUUGCCCCAUUCUGGUGAUAGAAGUCAUCAACAAAUUCAGGUCUCACCACAUCUCUCUAACCCUCAUUGCUCCAUUCUGGUGAUAGAAGUCAUCAACAAAUUCAGGUCUAACCACAACAUCUCUAUCCCUCAUUGCUCCAUUCUGGCUAGCGCAAGAAUAGUUUCCAGAUCUGCUAGAGCUCCUGGUAGACUUUCCAAAAUUGCUACCACAGACAACCAGUCUACUUAGACAGCCCCACUUCAGGAGGUUCCAUCAAGGACUGUUCACUCUGGCCCUGACCGCUUACAGAUUGUCCGACAACUCUUAUGAGCAAAAGAUUUUUCAAACCAAGCUGCAAGGGCUAUUGCUUAGUGCAGAAGAAAAUCCUCAAGUGAUGUCUACCAGGCGAAGUGGACGAUUUUUCGAUCCUGGUGCAAAAAGCAUUACAUAUCAUCUCAAACACCUAUAGUGGAAAUCAUUGAUUUUCCUUUACACUUGAAGACAUCAAGGAACCUGUCAACUUUGACCAUCAGAGGAUAUAAGGCAUUGCUGGACUCACCUUUAAGCACAGAGGGAUAGAUUUGUCGACCAAUAAAAAUCUUUCUUUUCUCAUCAGAUCUUUUGAUACAGUCAAACUUAGAGGCUCUAAGACCUUGGCUUGGAAUCUAGAUGUUCUUAAAUGACUCUCAAAACCAUGUUAUGAGCCACUGAAUACUUCAUCUCUGAGAGACUUUAUGAGAAAGACCCUAUUCCUGGUAGCCUCGUCUACAGCAGAGAGAGUGUGUGAACUUACCUUGAAGGACAAGAGAGUAGGCUUUGCUCAAGGUAAUGCUGUAGGUGCAUUUUAGCAAAAAACGAGACCCCAUCUAAGCCUUGGCCUCAUUCUUUCAUUACUAAAAACCUUACGGACUUAGUAGGACUAGGAAGAGAAGUCUCUGUGUCCAGUCAGAGCACUAAAAUGCUAUCUGCAGAGGACAGAGAAGAUUCGUUGCUUAUCCGAUCUCUUGUGUUGUUCCUUGAGGAACCCAUCUUACCCUAUGUUUAAGAAUGCCUUGGCAUUCUUGAGGAAUAUUAUUGUGGAGGCUCAUUCUCAAGUGAAAGAAUCAAAUUUCAAUGCAAUGAAAGUGAAAGCUCAUGAAGUAAGAGCAGUGGCUACAUCGCUUUCCUUUAAACAUAACCUCGUUUUAGAUGCCAUUAUCCAAGCGACAUAUUGGAAGUGCAAAUCAGUGUUUGCCUCUCAUUACUUGUGUAAAUCGAAACAGUUUAUGACAACUGCAGCACCUUGGGUCUGUAUUUAGCUACUGCCACGGUAUUGGGUAAGGGUGCAUAGGAAGUAAUUCCUUCCUAAUCUAGUCUCUUCGCCUUGAAUAAGGUUGUUGAGUUUUAAGGGGAGCCUGGGGGUACUAUAGAUGUACUAAGAGUACCCUUCCGUCUUUUUAUUAGUUGAGUAUGGUUUUUAAUUUUUUUAGAGGUGGUAUAUUUACGUACUCUGAUGUGAUUAUGUUGAUAAUAGUACUGCACACCGGGCAGGGGCAUCUGUCUGUUGAUCAUGCUAGCCACAGACUAUUCCUUAGCUGCAUGGAUCCCACUAAAGUAGAGGAUGACCUUUGGCUAUACCGCCACUCUACAAGUUAAGAUGAGCAUCAUCCAGAGUCAGUACUUUUAUGUGGGAAUAGGUUCCAGAACCUGCCACGGAAAUUGAAAAAUCCUGUUUUUAAACAUCUACCUCACCUGGUAGUUAUAUAUAUAGCUUACGUCCCUGACGUCAGCUAUAUAUGUAUAUAACUACCAGGUGAGUAUGAUCAAAAAUUUAUUUUAUUAUGAAAAUAUCAUUUUAAAAAUUUUUAUAACUGCCAAAUACCCAGUAACCCCUUAAGCUAAAAUGCUCAUAACUAUUUUAACAUUUCACUGCCUAAUAUGAUAGAUAAAACAAAAAUAUACCUUAAAUUAUCAUACUAAAACAAUUUAAUAUUUCAAAUAAAAAUACGUACACCCCAAACCAUCGUCUCAAAGCACCCAAAGUAACCUUACAUGACUGUACUCUCCUACUAUUGUUACUAAGUAGGCAAUAUACACCCCUAAAAUACAUAUAACUGCCUAUUUUAACAGUUUAUUGCCAAACUUGACAGUUUAAACAAAAAUUUACCUCAAAAUAUCAUCCCAGAACACCCUAAUAUAAUUUCUAAGUCAUGUUACAAAAGUGUGUACCAGCCAGCAACUGUUAUUUUUAGGUAUCCCCUUCCAUUCAGACGCACAUUUUCUUUGUCCUAAGUAACUCUGUUCUUACUUUUUGUGAUUACAUACAAAUACAGUCAACUUAAAAAAUGUUUUACCAUAUUAAGUUCUUGGUUUACGUCAUAUUGUGGUUAGUCCUUGCCAUCUCCCUUAAAUUUACUAAAGAUUCUUCUGCUCUCUCUCUCUCUCUCUCUCUCUCUCUCUCUCUCUCUCUCUCUCUCUCUCUCUCUCUCUCU